rnacentral:rRNA from 1 species
GCUACGGGUGGCUGCAGUGGGGAAUAUUGCACAAUGGGGGAAACCCUGAUGCAGCGACGCCGCGUGAGCGAUGAAGUAUUUCGGUAUGUAAAGCUCUAUCAGCAGGGAAGAAAAUGACGGUACCUGACUAAGAAGCCCCGGCUAACUACGUGCCAGCAGCCGCGGUAAUACGUAGGGGGCAAGCGUUAUCCGGAUUUACUGGGUGUAAAGGGAGCGUAGACGGCUGUGCAAGCCAGAUGUGAAAGCCCGGGGCUCAACCCCGGGACUGCAGUUGGAACUGGGUGGCGGGAGUGUCGGAGAGGCAGGCGGAAUUCCUAGUGUAGCGGUGAAAUGCGUAGAUAUUAGGAGGAACACCAGUGGCGAAGGCGGGCUGCUGGACGAUGACUGACGUUGAGGCUCGAAAGCGUGGGGAGCAAACAGGAUUAGAUACCCGAGUAGUC